rnacentral:rRNA from 1 species
GAUGAACGCUGGCGGCGUGCCUAAUACAUGCAAGUCGAGCGAACGGACGAGAAGCUUGCUUCUCUGAUGUUAGCGGCGGACGGGUGAGUAACACGUGGAUAACCUACCUAUAAGACUGGGAUAACUUCGGGAAACCGGAGCUAAUACCGGAUGAUAUUUUGAACCGCAUGGUUCAAAAGUGAAAGACGGUCUUGCUGUCACUUAUAGAUGGAUCCGCGCUGCAUUAGCUAGUUGGUAAGGUAACGGCUUACCAAGGCAACGAUGCAUAGCCGACCUGAGAGGGUGAUCGGCCACACUGGAACUGAGACAAGGUACAGACUCCUACGGGAGGCAGCAGUAGGGAAACUUCCGCAAAGGGCGAAAGCAUGACGGAGCAAAGCCGCGUGAGUGAUGAAGGUAUUCGGAUCGUAAAACUCUGUUAUUAGGGAAGAACAUAUGUGUAAGUAACUGUGCACAUCUUGACGGUACCUAAUCAGAAAGCCACGGCUAACUACGUG